UACGUAGGGUGCAGGCGUUAAUCGGAAUUACUGGGCGUAAAGGGUGCGUAGGUGGUUUGGUAAGUCAGUGGUGAAAUCGUCCGGCCCAACCGGACACGUGCCAAUGAUACUGCCGAACUCGAGUGCGUGAGGGGUGGGGGGAACGAGCAGUGUAGCGGUGAAAUGCGUAGAUAUUGCUCGGAAGGCCAAAGCCGAAGGGACCCCACUGGUACGUAACUGACACUGAGGCACGAAAGCGUGGGGAGCAAACAGG
rnacentral:rRNA from 1 species